rnacentral:tRNA from 1 species
GGCAGUGUGGCCUAGUGGCUAGAGCUCUGGACUGGGAUUCAGGAGACCUGGGGUCUGUCCCCAGCUCUGCCA